rnacentral:rRNA from 1 species
GACGAACGCUGGCGGCGUGCUUAACACAUGCAAGUCGAGCGGUAAGGCCCUUUCGGGGGUACACGAGCGGCGAACGGGUGAGUAACACGUGGGUGACCUGCCUCUAGCUCUGGGAUAAGCCUGGGAAGCUGGGUCUAAUACCGGAUAUGACCUCGCGGUGCAUGUUGCGGGGUGGAAAGCCUUGUGCGGCUAGGGAUGGGCCCGCGGCCUAUCAGCUUGUUGGUGGGGUGAUGGCCUACCUAGGCGACGACGGGUAGCCGGCCUGAGAGGGCGACCGGCCACACUGGGACUGAGACACGGCCCAGACUCCUACGGGAGGCAGCAGUGGGGAAUCUUGCGCAAUGGGCGAAAGCCUGACGCAGCGACGCCGCGUGAGGGAUGACGGCCUGGU